CCUACGGGUGGCAGCAGUAGGGAAUAUUCCACAAUGAGGGAAACCCUGAUGGAGCGACACCGCGUGCGUGAAGAAGUAUUUCGGUAUGUAAAGCUCUGUCAUCAGGGAAGAAAAUGACGGUACCGGACCAAUAGGCCACGGCUAACUACGUGCCAGCAGCCGCGGGAAAACGUAGGGCGCAAGCGGUAAGCUGAUUUACUGGGUGUAAAGGGAUAGGAGAUGGGUUGUUGAGUAGCGUGGGAAAGUUUGGGGCUCAACCGUAAAAUUGCAAUUGAUACUGGCAGCCUAGAGUUCAGUUGAGGUAGGCGGAAUUCGAGGUGUAGCGGUGAAAUGCGUAGAUAUAAUGAAGAACUCCGAUGGCGAAGGCAGCUUACUAAACUGAUACUGACAUUGAGGCUCGAAAGUGUGGGUAGCAAACAGGAUUAGAUACCCGAGUAGUC
rnacentral:rRNA from 1 species